UAGCUAUUGACUGAAAUUACUGUUGAGAGUCCCAUUAUCAUUAAUUCAAAGGUUUCACCUUACGAGAAUUCUUAAAAAUUAUUAUUUGAUGGUGCAUGGUAUGCUUAUUUAUUACUACUACCGAUGAGCUAGUAAGAACUAACAAGUAUGUUUAUAAUUUGAAAGAAAACACAGUCAAGAACACAAAGUUAUUCCUCCCGAGAUUGUUACACUUGUUGUCAACAGUAUAACUAUAAAGUUUCAAAGUCUAAAAUCGUACCUGAUCAGUUGUAGAAUAUAGUUGCAGUACUCUGUAGUUGAAUAGAGUUUCUCUUUUCUGGAAAAAAUUUAUUUUAGUGUCUCAGUGGAGAAAAAACACGUUGGUUUCUUCUUUUAAGAUAGAGUUGAGUUUCUUCCUUUUUAUAUAUAUAUUAAAAUUAUACAUACAUAUUGUAUUUUAAGGAUUAAAUAUUGGACAAUCAUCCAAGUCAACAUUAGUUGUAAUAAACAUAUUGUAUGACAUGACAUACCGAUAAUUUGAUUGCUUUCCCUUUCUCGCUUUCUCCUUCACUUUGUCCUCCUCUUUCCAUUAUUGUAACUUUUCCUUUCAAUUUCUCAAGAUCUGAUGUAUAAAAUACACAUAAAACCUAAUCAGGAGAAAGAAUACAAUGAAACUGAAGAAAAGAAGCAUAAAAAAGCCAUAGCAGAAAACAUGAUUGGCUAAGAUCAUGGUUGACUAACCUUUUUUAUUGAUAUUGAAGAUGAAAAAUCUGUGAGAAUGCUUUCGAUCUCCUCUCUGUUGUUGUGUAUGUAUAAUGUAUGAAUUCGUGUGGAGGUGAAGAGAAGGAGAAGAUAUAAGGGAACUAGGGCACCAGAUCAUUUAUGUUGGGUAGAAAAAUGACAAAAAUAUGGUUGGGCAUUAAAUUUGAAAUAGUCUCUUG
rnacentral:lncRNA from 1 species